CGACGAGUUUGAUCCUGGCUCAGGACGAACGCUUGCGGCGUGCCUAAGAAAUGCAAGUCGAACGGGGACUUCGGUCCUAGUGGCGAACGGUCGCGUAACACGUAAGCAACCUGCCCUGAAGUGGGGGACAACAUCCCGAAAGGGGUGCUAAUACCGCAUGUGGUCACGAGUCGGCAUCGACUUGUGUCUAAAAGAUUUAUCGCUUCAGGAUGGGCUUGCGGCCUAUCAGGUAGUUGGUGGGGUAAAACGCCCACCAAGCCGACGAUCUGUAGCUGGUCUGAGAGGACGACCAGCCACACUGGGACUGAGACACGGACCAGACU
rnacentral:rRNA from 1 species